UACGUAGGGUGCGAGCGUUAAUCGGAAUUACUGGGCGUAAAGCGUGCGCAGGCGGUUCGUUGUGUCGGCGGUGAAAGCCCCGGGCUCAACCUGGGAAUGGCCGUUGAAACUGGCGAACUGGAGUGUGGCAGAGGGGGGUGGAAUUCCGCGUGUAGCAGUGAAAUGCGUAGAUAUGCGGAGGAACACCGAUGGCGAAGGCAAUCCCCUGGGCCUGCACUGACGCUCAUGCACGAAAGCUAGGGGAGCAAACAGG
rnacentral:rRNA from 1 species